GGAGAGGGGAGAGAAAGACGUAGAAAAACAGACAAGGAGAGAGGGCAGGAGUGGGGGACACAGGUACUGGGAGAGAGUAGAGACACAGAGACAAGAGAGAAAAGGCAACAAAGACAAAGCCAGAGACGCCCAGCCCGAGAGACAGAGCCACACGGAGAGAAUGGAGAGGGGAGCAGGGUCAGAGGGCCCGGACGACGCAGAGAAGGACGCGAAAGGACGUGAGAGGGACUUCCCCCAGGGGCAGGGAGAGGCCUUGGGCAGCUCCUCCGCUGGGCCGGGCUGCCUGCCUGCUGGACUCCGGGAAGGAGGCAGUGACCGCACCCAUCUGGAAGCUGUCAGGUCCCUCAAGGAUGAGGGCGUUGGGAGGAAGCCAGACAUGAGCCACGUCUAGAGAGAGGAAGCGGCGGGAUUUGAAAAAGAUGGCCCUCCUUCUGGGAGAGCACCCACUGCUCAUCUGAAUUCUAGAGAACCACUCAAGUGCAUAUAGACGGCAUCCAUCCUAAGAAGGAAAGUGCUCUCUAAGAAGCCACUAUGCCUGAAAUGCCACCAUAUGUAUACACCAUUCCACUAUGGAAAACAUUGCCUUUUCGGGGCUCUUCCUGUGAAAUGCAGGCCAUGAGCUCUUGCUGGACAUACCAGAACAAAGACAUAGUCUCUUCAAGAUGGCAUUCACAGCCAUAGGGCAGGACGACAGGUGGGCGACAACCAUAGCCAGCAGAAGAGCAGACACUGGAACAGAGGUUCAAACCAACAACUAUGGAGCGAGCUGAGCCUUUUAUUGAAGCGUAAUACAUAUACAGAAAAAUUCACCUAUCAUAAGUAUGCAUCUUGGUAAAUUUUCACAAGGAAUAUACCCAUGGAACCAACAUCCAGAUCAAAAUCUGUCAGGCGUCUAGCACCCAGAAGCCCCUGCGGGUCCCUGCCAGUUACUAUGUGCCCCCAAGGCUGACCACUGUCCUGUCUUCUGGUACCACAGGAUGGGAGAAGCAUUUGUCAUGCAUUGACUGCUGAGACACCAGCAAAGCCCAGGCACAGAAUUCCGCCCUCCAGAGGAAUGGCUGGAGUUCUGUCCGUGAGCCAGUUUUCAGUUCCAGCUGUGCAAUCCUGGCUCUUCUUUUCUGCUAUUUCCA
rnacentral:lncRNA from 10 species